CUUUUAUAUUCGCUCCUGAUCACCUAUGACGUUCAUAUAUAUAUCGAAACCAAAGAAAAUAUAACUACAGUCCAACAUAUAUAUUUUGAGACUGAAAAAAUCAAGAGGCCAUUUCAAAAUGUAUACAUAUACAGUACAUGAUUCCCAAAAUAUAAUAUAGCUAAAGUCCACAAAAUAACCCUAGAGUUCGCCAUCCAUGUAUAUCAAACUUCGGAAUCCCGUAAGAGCUUCAUAGCUAGCCAGGACCUCUGUGAAGUUCCAUGCUCACCUACAAUGCAAAAACUAUAUAAGCUAAUGCUUAGUGAGCAAAAUUCAUGCAUGUCAUGAGUAUGAGUAAUAAUGGUAUAUGACAUCAUGUCAUGCUAAAGAUGCAUCGUAUUCAAAUAUUCAUAGAAAUCAAUUCAAAAUAAUUUCUUUUAAAAAAUUUCAUUUCAUUAGACCCUUGACUCACCUACUAUACACCAGAUAAAGCUCUGCGCAAUGUCGAUAUCAAUAAUCAAUAAUCGAAUGGCCAAGACGACAUCAACACUGGGGAGUGGACCAGACUCUUGUGACCACCAGAGACCCAUCCCCUAACUAUUCUCACGAUCACUCAAAAAGUAUCCCACCAGGCAGCGCUAAUAAUCAUAGUAUCACAAGGGCACAGCCAAGUGAUCCAUCCUCCUAUGAUCCCUAAAAGGCGCAUCGCAAUAACCUGGAAAGUAUCACUCGCGAUGCCAAAACAUUCACAUAAGCAUGCUUCACAUCCCUCGGUGCUCUAGUAGUGGUCAACAAAACAUUUAUGAAGAAAACUCAAUUUUGAAAUCAUGUUGUGCAUACUAGAUUUUCAACCAUGGACACAUGUCCUGCAUGCACAUGAAAAUGAUCGUGAUUGACAUACUUAAUCAAAAUCGAUGUCAAUACGUUUCGAAACCACGUACUCAAUGAUCAUAACUAUCACAUGAUGUACAAUGAGCUCAUUAUCAAAGUUAUGUAAAUAUUAUAACAUUACUACAUCACAAAUACUAUGUUCUUGCAUCGUAGUUGCGAAUGGAUUUUUACUUACCUUUUGCCUUUGUAUGUGCACUUCCAAGGAGUGUAGAUCAAUUUUCUUUUUCACUUAAAGUUGAAAAAUCCAAUGUAUGACCAUUUAAUAUCAAACACAAUCCUCAAUUUCAUAACCUUAACACACACAAUCUCGUGCUACGUCCAUUCAUGCCAAAAUAAUUUAGAAAACAUUAUCACUUCAAGUUAUCGAUUGAAUUGCAAACUAGUCCCAUAAAUCUCACAAUGAGUCCAAUUAUGAAUGUCAAUGUCAUUAAAUUGUUAUUAACAACCUAACAUUCCUUAAAAUCUAUUUUCCAGGCCUAAGAGAUGAUUAGUGCACAUGUAAAGAUCGAAACUAUGCAAACUACCAAAAUGAACAGAAUCUGUUUUUGAGUUUUAGUUGCUACCAUGUCUCGUUUCAUCCAUCUUUUCACACCCUUAAUUACAUAAAUUAAUUUCCCAAUUUUUAACACAUUAUAUAACAUAAAUGUGAAUGUAAAUUUGUCAUUAAGUCAGUUCCUUUUACUGAACACCAAAUCAGGAUUUCAUCAUGGCUACUUUGAGUUUCACUUGGAUUAGACCUUCAAAAAUUUGAUUCUAACCUACUAAAGAUAAUUUCUAUACUUUUAACUCUUAUAUUAAAACAUUCAUAUAGAUAAAUACAAGUUAUACCCAAGGAAUUAUUUAAAAUCAAAGGUUUAAAUUAGUAAGAUUCAGCAACUAUCAAAUCUCUAUCCAUGUUGACUUCCUUCAUGUUCUUGCAAUCAAUUAUCCCUUUUUCACCACCACAAAUUCACAAACAUAUAACAUGGUCUCAAAUAAGAUCAGAUGUUCAAGAGAUUAUAAAACCCUAAAAAACAAUGAAUACAAUCCUCAAAACAGUGAACUAACCCAGUUGCCAAACACUUUCAAUUCUAGCUUCCUGUUUUCUAUUUCUCUUUGGCUCUUUUGCUCUCUUUUUCACUUAGAAUCAAUUGGGGAUGAGUUAAAGGAGUUUUUUUCUUAUUUAGGAGGUAAAGAAGAGGUCUUUAAAGGGUUGAGGUCA
rnacentral:lncRNA from 1 species